ensembl:lncRNA
CGCGCUCAUACACGAACUGACUACAUAAGUAGGGUUUUCAUAAGAGGACGCAAGAGAGUUGAGCAGAGUUAAAGAUCUUUGGCGAGAUAAACAAUGACAUUAUGGCCAAAAUGCGAUCAGCAUGACUUCCUCCAAGCCGAUAGCGACUGAAUAAGAGUUUCACACGGAUUCGGCAGUGGAAGAGUUAAAACACACUAAGCAAAUAGUGCAGGAAAAGGAGUGUAUAAAUGUAUAAGGAGAAGGCAGAGUGGAUUACACAGCAUUUAACCUCCAGCCAUACAGCUGUCAGUUCCUCAGAACAGUAAGAGCCUGCACUAAUAUGAGGAAGAUGGCGCUCCACUGGGCAGCCAAGCAGGGCCGCAUUGAGACGGUGGACAUGAUGGCUCGCUCUGGCGCAGACGUCAACCAGCGAGCAGUGAGAGCUGACAGGAGCCAGAGCCCCUACUGACACACUCACAUUUACACCUCUGCAGGGUCUCUGUCUCUCUCUCUCUUUCUCUCUCUCUCUCUCUCUCUCUCUCUCUCUCUCUCUCUCUCUCUCUUUCU